AGGGGUGUGGCUCAGUGGUACAGUGCUUGCCUAGCACAUGCAAGGCCCUGGGUUCUAUCCUCAGCACCACAU
rnacentral:tRNA from 1 species